GAUGAACGCUAGCUACAGGCUUAACACAUGCAAGUCGCGGGGCAGCAUGGGGGUUGCUUGCAAUCCCCGAUGGCGACCGGCGCACGGGUGAGUAACGCGUAUUCAACCUGCCCUUCACCACGGGAUAACCCGGCGAAAGUCGGACUAAUACCGUAUGUUGUCCAUUGACGGCAUCCGAUUUGGACGAAAGGCUUGGCGGUGAGGGAUGGGGAUGCGUCCGAUUAGCCAGACGGCGGGGUAACGGCCCACCGUGGCUACGAUCGGUAGGGGUUCUGAGAGGAAGGUCCCCCACACUGGAACUGAGACACGGUCCAGACUCCUACGGGAGGCAGCAGUGAGGAAUAUUGGCCAAUGGGCGUAAGCCUGAACCAGCCAAGUAGCGUGCAGGAGGACGGCCCUAUAGGUUGUAAACUGCUUUUAUGCGGGGAUAAAGUGGCCCACGGGUGGGCUUUUGCAGGUACCGCAUGAAUAAGGACCGGCUAAUUCCGUG
rnacentral:rRNA from 1 species